UCAAUUUGUGGGUUCAUAUUUUAGAAUUGUAUUGAAGUAAUUUAGCCCUGGGCUUUAAAUAUUUAUACCUCUUAUUUCGUAAACUUGUUUUUUCGAUUUUUUUUUAAAUAUUUCUAAAAUACCCUUAUAUCAAAAUUUCUUUUCUUCGCCCGGCUUUUCUCUUCUCCUUCAUCACCCUUCCUGCAAACUGGCUCAUGUCUCCUCAAAAUUAAAUAAAAGGGUUUACUUCCUCUUUCUUUCUGUUUUUUCUUUCUUUUCUUCGCCCGGCUUUUUUCUGCUCCUUCAUCACCCUUCCCGCAAAGCUGGCUCAUCUCUUCUCAUUCAUCAAGCUUUCUUCACUGACUUGCCCUUUUGCCAAACAGCCCCGUUUCGUCUCUCUGAUCACCAAAAUUCCAUACCAACUCAUUCAAUUUGAUGGUUCGGAAUUCGGAAUUAGGGAUUCAAUUUUGUUCUUGUGGGUCUUCAUUUCGUUUGCGAAUUGUACUUUGAAAUGCCAUGGCAAUGCCGUGAAUCGUUUGGAAAGCUAAGAGCUUGGUAUGUGGGUUUCGACAGGCGGAGCAAAAAAUUGAAGAAGGAUGUUCACACUUUUCUUCAGCUGAGCUUCCAUAUUGUGAAAAAGGAGGACGUGGGUUUGUAUAGGAAGCGCGUGGUUGGUGCUGCAUGGUGGAAGCAUAUGCCCAAGCUUGCUGUUUCGCUUGGCCUCUGAUAAAAUGCCAGCAAACCUGGUAAUGUUGCGGAGUUGUUGGAGAGAGUUUCUCAAAGUAUAAAAGUGAAACGUUGCAGUGAGGCACUUGAUGAGCUCAAUACAGCUAGAGAGGCUGAUCCAAAACUUUCAGAAGCAGAUUAUCAUGGUGCAUCAAUUCUUCGUCAGUUAUGCAGGUUCUUCUAUGUUAUUAGGACUUCUUUACUUACAAGAAUAUGUCUUUGAAAGUUAUCUUCCCAAAGAAACAGAACCAUUUUGGCUUGCAUAAAAUUGUUGAUUUGUAGUCAAUCUUUAGUUUUGACUUAUGAGAAAAUGUCCACCUAUUAAUCCAAGGGUGUCUUCUGAGUGUUUCAAAUUAGAAAAGUAGCAUAUGUGAGGCAUGAAGCUAUACAACUUAUGACAUGUUCUCUUUUUUAUUGCAUUAUGGCAUAGUACCUUUUAUGAUAUUAUUUUAUUUGCAAUUCAAGCUAGCUCUUUCUCCUUGUCCUCUGCCAUGUGACCUUAUGAAUUAGCUUCUGCAAGUGCUUCCAUAUUGUGAUUGAGUAAUUUAAAUUUAUCUGUAGUGUACAAUCCUCUUGUUUUCUCCCUUGGCUGUGUCAGUUAACCGCAAAAUAAUGAUCAGCUAACUAAAAUUGCUGGUUUUGGUACCAUUUCAAAGUCAACUCAAAACAUUACCUUCUGCAUGUUAGUAGAAAAUAUUUGUGGACACAACAGAAUCUAUUGACCACACACCUUCUACAUGUUAGUAAAAAAUAUUUGUGCUUCCAUAUUGAUGUUCCACUUUACAGAACUGUAUGCAAAGUUUGUUUUAUUAAUCAUGUGUACCUACCUCCUAGGUUUUUGCAUCUUGCUUUAUAUCUGUUGUUAGCUGUUGGUCUUAGUUAAUUUAAGAUAGUAAAACCCUGCCAAUUCUACAAGUUAUGCAUAUUCGGGAAGCACUACUAAGAGCUGCUAAAGCUUUGAAGAUGACCAAACGCAAAGACUAGUAUAAGAUCUUGGGAGUUUCAAAGACUACAUCUAUUUCUGAGAUUACGCGGGCAUAUAAGAAGCUGGUUUUUCAGUGGCAUCCAGAAAAGAAUGUAGAUAACAGAGAAGAAGCUGAGACCCAAUUCAGGGAAAUUGCUGCUGCAUAUGAGGUUCUUAGUGAUGAAAAAAAAUGCACUAGAUACGAUAGAGGAGAAGACCUUGAAGAUAUGGGUAGGGGUGGCAGUGGUGGUGGUGGUUUUAACGCUUUUGGUGGUGGGGGACAGCAGUUCAUGUUUACAUUUGAUGGAGGCUUUCCUGGUGGAUUUGGAGGUGGAGGCUUUCCAGGAGGUGGCUUUGAAUUCUAUUUUUGAUCUUGAGAUUAGUUCACAAACAAAAAACUAGAAGUGCAAUCCUUUUUUAGGAGUAGUAACGACCAAUGUGACUAACUGCUAAUUAUGUGUAUGGCCAACCAAGGGACUUUCUUUGCUAUCACAAAGAAAUAUUGUAACCCUCCAGAGAUUUUUUAUGCAGAAUAUGGAUCUCUGGAUCUCGUUGACAAUCUACAACUCCCUUUGUAGAGGAUAAGAAUAAUGCAACAAAAAGAACAGUUUGUAAUUUUUUCUAGUUGCAUACUAUAUCUACCUUGUAUGAUACAAAAUUGUAUUCGAAUUUUAUUAAUGUUUCCAAUGUGUUUUUGUCA